GAUGUAACUCCUGUUGUUGAGGAAGAUAAUGACGGUACUCAACAAGGAAGUGACGGCUAACUACGUGCCAGCAGCCGCGGUAAAACGUAGGUCACAAAGCGUUGUCCGGAAUUACUGGGUGUAAAGGGAGCGCAGGCGGGCGAUCAAGUUGGAAGUGAAAUCCAUGGGCUCAACCCAUGAACUGCUUUCAAAACUGGUCGUCUUGAGUAGUGCAGAGGUAGGCGGAAUUCCCGGUGUAGCGGUGGAAUGCGUAGAUAUCGGGAGGAACACCAGUGGCGAAGGCGGCCUACUGGGCACCAACUGACGCUGAGGCUCGAAAGUGUGGGUAGCAAACCAGGAUUAGAUACCCUGGUAGUCCACACC
rnacentral:rRNA from 1 species